rnacentral:rRNA from 1 species
UACGUAGGUGACCAGCGUUGUCCGGAUUUACUGGGCGUAAAGAGCGCGCAGGCGGUCGUUCAAGUCGAGUGUGAAAGCCCCCGGCUCAACUGGGGAGGGUCACUUGAUACUGAUCGACUCGAAGGCAGGAGAGGGAAGCGGAAUUCCCGGUGUAGUGGUGAAAUGCGUAGAUAUCGGGAAGAACACCAGUGGCGAAAACGACUUCCUGGCCUGUUCUUGACGCUGAGGCGCGAAAGCUAAAGGAGCAAACGGG